rnacentral:rRNA from 1 species
UACGUAGGGGGCAAGCGUUGUCCGGAUUUAUUGGGCGUAAAGAGCGUGUAGGCGGCCUGACAGGUCAGCUGUGAAAACUCGAGGCUCAACCUCGAGACGCCGAUGGAAACCAUCAGACUAGAGUCCGGAAGAGGAGAGUGGAAUUCCUGGUGUAGCGGUGAAAUGCGCAGAUAUCAGGAAGAACACCCGUGGCUAAGGCGGCUCUCUAGUACGGUACUGACGCUGAGACGCGAAAGCGUGGGGAGCGAACAGG